GCAGCUGCGGGAAGGAGCGGUACCCAUGAGGAUCCUGCUAGACUAUCACUACAGGACUGACUCAAGAUAUUCCUGAGGCUGAUGCGAGGGAAAACACCUCAUCAGCUGAGACUAACUGAAAUAGCAGCUGAGUGGUGUUGUGACUCGAGGACAUUAAACCUGGUUGAGAAGUGCCAUGACAGCUCCAAAAGACAAACACCUCUUCAGGAAGACUAUUUUAAUCUGCUUUCAGAUGAUCUAACAUCAAUUGCAAAAAAAGCAUCUUGUACCAUAAGAAAUACCAGGAUGGAAAAAUGAAAUUGAAUUUACAUGGAAAAAAUACGUUGUUGUAUGCAACUAGCAGUGUAAAUUCACAUCUUCCUGGGCACCUGCACAGGAGCCAUUAGGGUAUGUUUUGAUGGUACUAUUAAUUAUUGACUAGCUCCUUGUGUUCACAGCAGAAGAAACACGUACAGAGGAAAGAUUUAAAAGAGAAGUAUUGCUUCAUCUUAGUUGCAUCAGGGGAAAGGAAAAAAAAGAAAGGAAAAAAAAAAUCCAAGGUCCACUGCAGAUAACAGUAGUGAGAAGACUUAGUUUGGGAAGAACUUUGCUCCUGAUGUGGCAUGUCACAAGACUGAGACAUCUGUUUGCUGCUGUCCCAAUCCAGAGAGCUGCUCUGGUUUUUGUUAAGGCAUUGGCAUUUAUAAAACAAGGAUCCCUCCAGGACCGAGGGCAGGUGAGAAACUACCCCACACCUACAGACCUCAGCAACACGUCUGCAAAACAGCAAGACAUCCUAGGAGAGCUACAGACCACCUGGCAUCAAAGGGAGGUCUCAACGUGCCAAGUGAUUUUCAUGACACUGAUGCCAAAGGCGCUGUUCAUUCAGUUCUGUUAACCAAGUGAAGCAGCUACAAUUAGCACACUCAGGAGAACAAACAAGAAUUAGGUGGGUGGCACAUUUUUUCUGUUGUAUGAAUCAUCACUAAAUCUGGCCUGCGAUUUGCUAGUGCCAUUUCUCUGAUCUCAGUGCUAUCAUAGGUGAGUUUGAUCUACUGCUUAGAAAACCCUCUCCUGACUAUACUCUGACACAACAUCAUGAAUCAAAGAUCUGGCUAAACAGAGUACACUGUGACAGCAAUCUGACCAACGAAUGACCAGAUCCUACCGAGUCAUAGUCACAGCAAAGAAAGACUUGCAAUAAGGAAAGGGAAGUUUGAUAUACUGAUUGUGCUAUAACGUGGAUUGAUGUGGGGAUGAGUGCCUCCACCCACGUGUGCCUGUGUGUAACUCGAACACGGUGGUGCCCAGCUGACCCCCAAGGUCAGUUCCUGAGCCUGGGAGAAGCUCGGCACUUGUGCUGUAACUGGCACGACAAUCUUGUUCCUGGAGAGGCAGCAACUGUGUGGGCGUUUACUGCAGUGUCCCAGGGGAAGGUGCAAAGACCGCUCGGCUUCACAAGGUUUAUUUACUGUGUCCGCUGGCUCAUGAAACAUUAGAGAAGCUGGAAGUGACUGACCCGCUUCCAGGUUUGUGUUUGGUGCAGGGCUGCCAGGAUGGCAUUCAGCCAAGACAAGUGCUGCAUCUUCCGAUGUGACCCUCUCGUGAUAAAGGCCUGAGCCACUAAAUACCAGAAAACAACCCCUUAAUACUCCCUGCUGCAGUGGAACACACAUCGCACAGCCAGCCUUGUACUGGGCGAGGAAGGGGCUCUGCAGCCAAUCUGCAUAAUCAGACCUGGAGGGCUUCCUUUAAACAAAACUGCUACUGUCUGCACAACGGUACACAGGCCAGAUCAGGAGCUCUGCUGACAACAGACUGCAAAAGAAAUGAAUUCAAGAUGUCCAUCUGUGUGGAUGCAGAACUUCUUAAAUUAUCUUUUUCCUAUGGAGUUCUUUGCCCAAGAAAGCUACGCCAGCACCAGACCCCACAUUCCCCUCAACAGAGAUCCUGGGAGGAUGUUUUGUGCAAUGUGAUGUGUAAAGAAUGGUUUCCUCUUUUUUAGUGUCAGUUCUGUCUAGUAAUUCAUAAGAAAAGAGAUGUUGAGGGGUUUUUUAGCCUAGUUUUUUUCUUGAAUCUAUAAUAGUUCUUGGCUUCAACAGCAGAUGUUAUUAACUGCUUAUUAUUCAGAAAUAAGCAAGUAUUUUGAGUAACCAAUUAUCUCAAAUCAUACCUUAAUCAAAAUGUAAGUCAGUAGCAUAUAUGGAGAAAUGUAAAGAUAAUAGAAUUCACGAUGUUUACGGAAAUCUGUAAAUGUUUGGAUUAUCUUCAUUUGUGCAAUAUAUCAGCAUCCAAGCCUUUAAUAAAAGCCUCUCUAGUCCAAAGGACUCCUAACUUCAGUGAAAAGAAAACUUAAUCCCUCACUUACAGGUAAAUAAAUGAGGCACAGAAGGGGACUCCAAAGAAAACCGUGGCCAACCUCAGAGUUUGGUUCUCCUCCCUGAUGCGGUAACAGGCACAUGCCUAUCUUGCAUCACAGAACAAAUAUCAAAUGUAAAUACAGUUCUUUAAAGUACGUCUACAGGGACCUCUCCAGAGAUUUUAAUUCAUUUAUCACAUAUGUAGUUUCGCUGCUGCCUUGAUUUCCUCUGCUCUUUCAAAACACUAGUCUUGUUAUUCCACACCAAGUACCAAUGAUCUUAAAAGCUCAAUUUCCAGAGGAAAAUUAUCUGAGCUGAAUUUCAUCUCAAAGCAAGAGAAGCAAAAUUUUGUUAUAUUUUCCAAGAAAUGUUUGAGAACAUGUUCUCUAAUUAUUUCUGUACCAAAAUCAUGAGGUACCAAGGUACCUGGAUCAUGUUAUUUUUAAGGCCACAUGCUCUUUAAAGGUAGGCUCAGCAUUUUAUACGAACCCUCACACUUCAGAUGACUGUGGCUGGCAGCCCUACACCCAGCUCUGACCCUGUGCGUAUCCUGACGAGUUUUUAUUUUUUCAUAUGACAUUGGCUGUGAUCUGUUCAACUUCUCCUGAAAAGCUGUGAUUGGUUUGACUUGUUGCUAUAUUCAUUUGCCAGAAAAAAAUGCAUGGGGAAGGAAGGAGAAGAAACCCCCUUCAAAAAAAAAAAAAAAAAAUCCAGUUUAAAAUGAUGAUCAAUUCAUCCUCCCCCCAGACCAGAACCCUUCCUGGGUCUGCAGUGCUCUCUGCUGGGUAACACACGUUAUUGCUCACCUGGUGUGAAAUGGAAAUGGCCUCUUCCAUGGAAACUGAGGGAGCUGCUGCCUUCCAGGCACGUUCCCUUGGCUCGUAUUUUCUGACAAAAACGGUGAACUCUGUGUUAUCAAGUUUCAGGGUGCCACCUGCUCUAUAACUGCAGAAAUUGCUUGCAAACAAGAGAUAUGUGACCAAAAAUACAGCAUCCUGCUGUUAUCAAAUGUCUGCUAUUCUCCAUCUGAUGUGCCUGGUGUCAGAUGCCAUGGGACCAGAUCCUGGAUUGUAUUCCUGACUCCUACAAGCUUUACUUACUGGAGUAAAACUUAACUUUUAAGUAGUUGCAAUGGUUAUAAUACUGACUUUCUUUAAAAGGUAUCGUGAGGCUGUACUGACAGCAAAGGGAUUCUCAUAGAGACCAGCUGAAGGGGCCAAAGUUCCAGUCUCAGGAAGCCUGAGGACAUGUGGGGAGCAGGAGAGGGUGCAACUGACUCCUACACCGUUGGCUUCUCAGUAACUCCAGCGCUGUUAGCAUCAAUGCUGUUGCAGAACCCUGUGGUUCCUUUGUACUGCUACUGUUUUUAGCUGUAAUUUGAGGCAGUGGAGUUCUGAAUUGGUCCCCCAAGCAAGCGUGCUUGCUCACCUCUACAGGCUCCUGGGAGAGGGCCCUGAUGUUCGCUGGUGACCUCCGCGUGUUUGUGCACGAAGCUAGAGACUCUGAGGUCAGAGUGGAGAAAGUAGGUCUUUAGCAGGUAAUAAAACCACAAGGGUGUGUUUGCACCGGGAUUUGCAGCUUGGCCUGGGUUUGGAGGGAAGACUCCCGCAGCACCUCCACUCUGCAUCAUAACAACUGUUUGCAUCCUGCUGCAGAUAGAAUUUGUCAGCUUUAGAGAACGAAAAUGAGCUGUGUGGGAUUUUCUGUCCCAUUAGUGUCUUGGCUUCUUGCAAGUGGUGAGCUGCUCGUACACUGUAAGCAACAGCAUCAAGUAUGAAAGAGUUCUGCCAAGGCUGGGAGACAACCCUGAGCCUUGUUUCCCCCCCACUUUAAUCUGUAAAGAACCAAUGCAUGAAACACAAGCAGUCCCAGAAAAACAAAAAAAACAUAAUCUCCACUGCUUUCUUUUCCUGAAUACACACCUCUGUCAGCCCUUUAGUCUCUCCUUCCUUUGGAGACUAAAGGUCAGCUGGGCCACAUGUGAACUGCUGCCCUCGGAGAGGCAACGGAAGGAAAUCGCACAUCAUGCACAGCUUUCUCGGCCUUUCUCGAUACACAUUUGUGUAUGAAUCAUCAGAGCGUGACGGCAGCCUGACGAUGACUAGAGACUGGCAUCUAUCAAAACCUGGUUUCUUCUUUUAAAGUUGCUCACUUGACAUCUGCAAGCAGUAUUUUUAUGGGCCUGUGAACAAUCAUGCUUUUGUUUGAUGGGGCUGUAUUGGAAGAGUCCUUUUGCUGGAAAGUGUCAAGAGAGUUCCAGCUAAAGCUGCUCAUUUUCAUCACUUCUGGGAAAGACCAUUCUGGCUCCCCGUCUAAGGAGGAGUGGAAAAACUGCUCUUCCAGCAAGUAUUGAGGAAUUGCUUUCUGAAAUUGUCCCAAACACAAUGAAGUCACCACUUUAUAGGCUUCCAGCUUCAUUAACGACUUUGUUCCUCUGUCACACAUAGAUGACAUUUUGUUAAAGAACUGAGGCUUUGUUGCAACUUUAACAUCUUAAUGUUCUGUUUUUCUCACCGUCCCCAACCCGAAUCUUGCAAAUAACGUCUUUCACUGCUAUAAAGUUAUCAGUUCCUUUUCCAGCAAAGCAGCUAUGAGAAAGCUGGAUUUAAGAUGCAAGUAACUUGAUUCUGCUUCCAUCUCAGCAAUCAUCUUCCUUUUUUGUGUAGCCUUAACAUCUUGGUGCUUCAGUUGCUAAUACUGUCCCAUUACCUUAUAUAUGACCUGUUAAAUACCUGCAUUCAAAUACCUAUGAGUUCCUAUGCAUUCAUAUCUGAAAAGUGAUAGGAAACUAUCUUUAAAACAAAUGAUAUAGAACUGUUAUUUAUUGCCUUCUUCUGUGACCAAUGCAGUCACACCUGCAAGCUUCUUUCAUUCUUUUUUCUGCUUAUUUUUUGUUAUUAAAGUGAAAGCUGAGAUUUAGAUGAAAACAUGACUCCAGGAAAUGGGACUUUCAAGUGAAAACACUGUAACACUAACCAUAAGAUUAUGAGACCAGGCAGAUGAGUAUGAGGGGCUGAGUUACUCAAACAACAAAGGCAAAGUCUAUAGGUCAGGACAAUAUCUCAUAUUCAGACACCAUCCCUCUGUACCAUCAAGGUAACUUUCCAACAGCUGCUAUGGGAAUAACGGUUUUGUUGCUUCUUAAAUGAUACCAUCACUUAGAUUUUGGUAUCAAACACUUUCCAGGGAUGAGCAAUGGCAAUCUGGCCAGUAACAGGGUGCAAGGAUAUUGGCUUCUAUCAAAAAAAAAGUACAGGGAUUUUUUUUUUUUUUACUAACCAGCAAUGUCACUUCAUUCACACCUUGUCUGAAGUAAACCAGUCACUGUGGCACUAUUCUGACCUGAUCUAAUGCUGAAAUGUCUAUGCCGAACAUAGAUUUGAUCAAGAUUUGGUAGAACCCCCCCCCCCAACAGUACGGUAUGGCAGAAGG